UCGAGUAGGUCUUUAUGAGAAAUCGAUGAAGGCCGAUCUUUGGCUACCCUUCCAUUUCCUCAUCAUAGAAUUUCUUAAUUUAUAUAGAAUAAGUUUUUGUAGCAUUGCGCUGAACUUAUGAUGCUAGAUCUUAGGUUUCUUUACCCACUGCCUUCUGCUCGGGGUCAAACCAACCUCCCACCUCUUUCGAACUUGCUUCACAUUGAAGG
rnacentral:lncRNA from 1 species